CUCCCAUUAAUAGCACAACCGCACAUACCCUUAACCAAUCAAUGAACAGAGUCUGGACUUGCUCAUCCGGUCAGACCACAUGGCUCAUCCAAAACAAAGGAGAAAGGAGUGUGAUUUCAGUUCCUACAUUCCUGCACAUGCUCAGUACAUUGAUGACAGUAUCAUAGCUACAUGUAACUAACUAACAGAUACAACAAACACCUGUACUUGUAUAUGCCACAUGGAGAUUUCAGGCCUACUAAAUUUUGAACCAUGUUGAAAUCCCAUCACACUAACAUGGAUAGUCAGUAGAAGCAUGGUGGAUUUUAAGGCAGUGUACCAAAGAGAGUAAGAGAAAAGCAUAGACAAAUGUUCCUCAGGUCAGGAUAAACAGCACAGGUUCAGUAAUGGUAUACAAGCAUUAGGGUCAAAUAAACAAGUAUGCAGUUAAAAGCCGGGAAACAAAUAGCAGGCUACGGCUAGCUCUGUAACUUCGAAGCACUGUAGCCUGAGGUUAGAGGGGAUUUAUUGUGGCUAUCGCAGAAGUAAUGUCAGAGGUGCAACUUGCACAAUGGACCAAAGAUUUGUGUUGCUAGAAUGAUGCAAUGCAUGUGUCUGCUCUGUUACAUUUGUUGGCAUUGACAACUCACCAUAAAAGGCAGGCUGGUUUUGAAAAUAACCAAGAGCAGACUAGAAUGUGGGUGUUUUUAUGACACACACGG